rnacentral:lncRNA from 1 species
CCGGCCCCCAGUGGUGACUUCUUAUAUAGUUAUAGUACAAUAUCAAGACCAAGAAAUAAGACAUUGCUCCAAUGUUAGCUAUACUACAGGUCUUGUUCAUUUUUCUCAUGGAUAUGCCGCUGUGUGUAUGUGUGGUUCUAUGCAGUUCUGUCCCACGUAUGGAUGCAUAUAACCACCACCAUAAUCAAGAUACAGAUUGUUUCAUCACCACAAAGGAACUCUCUCAUGUACCUCUUUAGUUAUACCCUUC